CGGAGUGCUCCUUGUGGCAGCUCCUCACAGCCUCCUCACGCGGACAUCCAGGCUGCUGCUGCAGUGGAGACAGUGGACUCACUAGUUUACAGUCACUCUGAUCCCUUCUUCACAUGCAAAGCAUGACACCGGGAGGGAAAAAAAGAAGAAAAAGAAAAAAGAAGAGCGAGGGGAAAGGAAGAGAGAAAGGUGCAGAGAGUGAGCAUACGGUUACAAGAGAGAUGAGGAGAGAGAUGGAGCUGGAACCAGAGUGUCACUGGCGAGAGAUUUUCCUGCUGAGCAGAGAAGGAAUGAGGAUGGGAGGGGGAGAGAGGGAGAGAGAACGAGGGAGAGAACGAGGGAGAGAGAGAGAGUGCAGACCGCGCCUAUCGAUGCAGACGGAGUAGAUCAGACGCUGCAAAGGAGCCUGGCUGGGCAUCAACCUAGAAUCCGAUGUACAUCGUUAAUUGUUAUUUUGGGCUAAUUGGACCCAUGCUGGGAGAUGAAGCCUGAUGAAAUCGAUGCCAAAAACAACACUGAGUGCAUGGACUCAAGCUCUCAAUAAAUGGCAGAGGAAAGUACAAAUGUGUGUGGUGUGUUUAUGUACAUCUCUGUGAGCACGCAUGGUGUGUAAUUCUCCUGAACUACAUCGCCAUC